rnacentral:lncRNA from 1 species
ACGGCGCGGGACCCGCGCUAUCCUUUGGGAUUUUGAGGGGCGGGUCCCGGCAGGGGCCCCCAACGUGGCUACUCCUGCGAGUCUCCGAGAGGGAAACAGGUGGUCGCGGGGUGGCUGUGGCGAGGUAGCUCCUCUCCGGUAGCCACGGGGUGUCGGAUGUGCGCCUUUACCCACCCGUGAUGUGCGCCUUUACCCAGGGUGGAUGUGUGCAUCUCCUGGAGCCGGCUGGGACCCCGCAUCGGGCUUUGGUCAAGGAUCUUUCGAAGGGGGGUUGCAAACUGGGAUGCACAUGGGGCCAGGCAGAUGCACAAUGGGUCCAACUCUUACCUGAUUUCAACUAUGCACCAGGCGCUGUCUAUAGUUAUUCAUUCAUUGAAUCCUCACCACGCCCCCUGAACUUGCUACUUGUGAUGACUGUGAUUUUACAGAUAGGGAAACAGGUAGGCAAGGUGAAAGUCGCUUACCCAAGAUCACAUGAGUAG